rnacentral:rRNA from 1 species
GGAUCCAGACUUUGAUCCUGGCUCAGGAUGAACGCUAGCUACAGGCUUAACACAUGCAAGUCGAGGGGAAACGAUAUUGGAAGCUUGCUUCCGAUAGGCGUCGACCGGCGCACGGGUGAGUAACGCGUAUCCAACCUGCCCAUCACUUGGGGAUAACCUUGCGAAAGUAAGACUAAUACCCAAUGACGUCUCUAGAAGACAUCUGAAAGAGAUUAAAGAUUUAUCGGUGAUGGAUGGGGAUGCGUCUGAUUAGCUUGUUGGCGGGGUAACGGCCCACCAAGGCAACGAUCAGUAGGGGUUCUGAGAGGAAGGUCCCCCACAUUGGAACUGAGACACGGUCCAAACUCCUACGGGAGGCAGCAGUGAGGAAUAUUGGUCAAUGGACGAGAGUCUGAACCAGCCAAGUAGCGUGCAGGAUGACGGCCCUAUGGGUUGUAAACUGCUUUUAUAAGGGAAUAAAGUGAGUCUCGUGAGACUUUUUGCAUGUACCUUAUGAAUAAGGACCGGCUAAUUCCGUGCCAGCAGCCGCGGUAAUACGGAAGGUCCGGGCGUUACCCGGAUUUAUUGGGUUUAAAGGGAGCGUAGGCCGGAGAUUAAGCGUGUUGUGAAAUGUAGACGCUCAACGUCUGCACUGCAGCGCGAACUGGUUUCCUUGAGUACGCACAAGGUGGGCGGAAUUCGUGGUGUAGCGGUGAAAUGCUUAGAUAUCACGAAGAACUCCGAUUGCGAAGGCAGCUCACUGGAGCGCAACUGACGCUGAAGCUCGAAAGUGCGGGUAUCGAACAGGAUUAGAUACCCUGGUAGUCCGCACGGUAAACGAUGGAUGCCCGCUGUUGGUCUGAGUAGGUCAGCGGCCAAGCGAAAGCAUUAAGCAUCCCACCUGGGGAGUACGCCGGCAACGGUGCAACUCAAAGGAAUUGACGG